AAAAGUAAACAUUCGCCGGUAGACCCGGUCCAUGCAAAUGUAGACUCGACACUCUUCGUACCACGCACCGGUGAAGAAGAAGACUCUUUCUAGGGUUUCUCUUGGGUUAAUAAAAUGGAAGCGUCGAAGCUCCUCAAGGAGAAGAGAUUCUGGAUCGCAUCCUUCCUCGUUGUGUGGGCCGCCGCUCUCCAGGGGCACAUGAUUUGGAUGCAGAAGCAAGACGCAUUCAAGCAGAAAUUUGGUGAUUUGAGCGAGGAAAAGGACGAGCGCGACUGAGGAUCCCGACCAAAAUCAGAUUUUUUUGUAGAUGUUCCCUGAUGAAUCCGAAUUGAUAGAGGAUUAUGUCUCAUCAUCAUCAUCAUCUGUGUUCUUCUUCUUCUUCUUCUUCUGAAGUAUUGCUGAGCAUUCAACUGUUGAGACUAAGCUACAACAUUUAUGCUGUUAUAUUACCUCUGUAGGAGAGAGAGAGAUUUCAAAGUAUAAGCAAUUGGCAUAUGGCUUCAUGUUUCAUAUGAAAAAAGAGGAUGUCACAUACUAUUUUCUUUGCAGUAACUUAACUUAAUGUUCCUUUUGUACCAUUGUGAUUAUAAUGUGGUUGAGAGCAAAA